GAAGAACUUCUGAUUUCAGGAGUUUCAGAAUUUCUAGUUUCUCUAGGAAUCCUAGUCUCACUGGGAAUCCUAUUCCUACUUUAAUAGGGAGUUCUAUUUUAAGUAGAGUUCUGUUUUCAGUUUCUUUUCCUAUUUUGAUUGUGUUUAUGUGUCCUAGUUCAGGCUGGAUUAGGAAUCUAUAAAUCCAGUCCUGUUAUGAGUUGAUUUUCUUUUAUUAUGUAAGACCCUAGUUGGUUUAGGACUCCAAAAACAUCUGGAGGUUCUUGAGUCAGUUUAGGAGUUGUUUCAAGUGUUUUAUUGGUCAAUUAAGUAACCAAUUUAAUUACUAGUUGGUUUAGGCCACUUUAGUCAUGUUAUGAGUCAUAUUUGGAGAGUUUAUAUAUACGUUUGUAACCAGCCAUUAAGGCAUAUGGAUUUUAUUAUGAAUAAAGUUUGUACUUUUUUAACC